GAUGAACGCUGGCGGCGUGCCUAACACAUGCAAGUCGAACGGAACUUCUUUGACAGAAUUCUUCGGAAGGAAGUUGAUUAAGUUUAGUGGCGGACGGGUGAGUAACGCGUGAGUAACCUGCCUUUGAGAGGGGAAUAACUUCCCGAAAGGGAUGCUAAUACCGCAUGAUGCAUAGAAGUCGCAUGGCUUUUAUGCCAAAGAUUUAUCGCUCAAAGAUGGACUCGCGUCCGAUUAGCCAGUUGGCGGGGUAGCGGCCCACCAAAGCGACGAUCGGUAGCCGGACUGAGAGGUUGAACGGCCACAUUGGGACUGAGACACGGCCCAGACUCCUACGGGAGGCAGCAGUGGGGGAUAUUGCGCAAUGGGGGAAACCCUGACGCAGCAACGCCGCGUGAAGGAUGAAGGUUUUCGGAUUGUAAACUUCUUUUAUUUAGGACGAAGAAUGACGGUACUAAAUGAAUAAGCUCCGGCUAACUACGUG
rnacentral:rRNA from 1 species